rnacentral:rRNA from 1 species
AACGGGGGGGCAAGCGUUGUUCGGAAUUACUGGGCGUAAAGGGCUCGUAGGCGGCCAACUAAGUCAGACGUGAAAUCCCCAGGCUCAACCUGGGAACUGCGUCUGAUACUGGAUGGCUUGAAUCCGGGAGAGGGAUGCAGAAUUCCAGGUGUAGCGGUGAAAUGCGUAGAUAUCUGGAGGAAUACCGGUGGCGAAGGCGGCAUCCUGGACCGGCAUUGACGCUGAUGAGCGAAAGCCAGGGGAGCAAACGGGAUUAGAUACCCCCGUAGUCC